rnacentral:rRNA from 1 species
CCGAUAAACGGACGAGACCUCGACCUGCUAACUAGUAGUAUUUAUUAGUCGAUAUGGGCGAUAGCUUCUCUGGGGUUUGGAAUGAUUUCGGUCAUCUCCUGCUUCAAGGAGUGUGUAGUCUGACUUGAUAGGUACGAAUUCAAAAACUUCUUAGAGGGACUACCUGCCUCAAGCAGGCGGAAGUCCGAGGCAAUAACAGGUCUGUGAUGCCCUUAGAUACCUUGGGCCGCACGCGCGCUACAAUGUAGAAAACAAAAAGGUUCCUGGUCCGGAAGGAUUGGGUAAUCAAUUGAAUUUUCUACGUAACUGGGAUUGAUCUUUGUAAUUAUUGAUCAUCAACGAGGAAUUCCUUGUAAGCGCAAGUCAUUACCUUGUGCUGAAUAUGUCCCUGCCCUUUGUACACACCGCCCGUCGCUCCUACCGAUCGAAUGAUACGGUAAAGUUAACGGAUCGUUUUAUUUGUGGCAACACAUUAUAAGACUAAAAGUUAUUUAAAUCUCAUUGUUUAGAGGAAGGAGAAGUCGUAACAAGGUAUCCGUAGGUGAACCUGCGGAUGGAUCAUUUUCUAUCAUUUCAAUUAUCAUCAUUAGAUGACGGUUGAUCUAAAUUUUUGCAAAAUAGUGGCAGUCCGCUGUCGUUAAAGUAGCAAUUAGGACGAUCCUGUUGUCUUAUUGGUACUAAUCUUCGCGAUUAUAAUUGAGCGCAAUGAUAGCGAAUGUCGCGCAAGCGAAUCCAUCCGCUUAAAAACACAUUGUUACUGACCGAUCCCGACUCACUUUAUYCAAAGCGCCAAGCGCGCGAUGGACUUUUCUAGCGUGUCAAACUUGACAUUUAAAAUAUGUUUAACGAUAUUUUUAAAUCAUUAAGCAUAAACGGUGGAUACCUCGACUCCUAAAUCGAUGAAGACCGUAGCAAACUGCGAUAAUUCACUUGAAUUGCAGCCUACUGGGAUAGUUGAAACGUUGAACGCACAUGAUGACAUUGGUCCUUUCGGAUUAAGUGUUAUACCUGGGUGAGAGUGGCUUUUAAACCAGUCAUAAUCAAAUGAUUAGCGCUUGCGCUAAACUUUGAGAGUGAUUUGUAUAGCAAAGGAUACCAAUCGCAAGCCUUACGGUCUGCCGGCGGUUGAAUGAACUAUACAUUUAUGCGGUACUCCGCAGUAAUCGUCACAGUUUUCACUUGGUUGAUCCCUUUCUUUUUUACUUUAUGUAUUGACUUGCUCUUUCGAGUAAUCUAAUCGCAUGGGUAGUUAAGCGAGUUUCUUUUGAACACUUCUAACAUUGAUUUAUCAUUACUAGUCGUGUGCAAGCUAAACAGACCUUUUCUACUUGAUUUUAUUACAAAACUGUUGGCAUUUCGCAUACAAAAAGCAUUAAAUAUUGGUCGAUCCCUCGUGAUAUACGGCUGUUUAGUCGGUUCAAUUAGCAUAGGGUGCUACCCUCGUUAGACUAUUUAUUGAACCCAUGACUUUAUAUGUUGCCUCACCUUGGUAAGACUACCCGCUGAACUUAAGCAUAUCAGUAAGCGGAGGAAAAGAAACUAACUAGGAUUCCGUCAGUAACGGNNNNNNNNNNNNNNNNNNNNNNNNNNNNNNNNNNNNNNNNNNNNNNNNNNNNNNNNNNGAUCUCUUCGAGGUCAGGAGAUUUAACCUAAGGACUGAUGGACCUCGCUAUUGUACUUGCUAAUUCCGUUUGGAAUUUCGAGUCGUAGAAGGUGAUAACCCUGUUCGCAAGGUGUCAAUAGCUAGACUAUGCCAUUAGCUCCACGAGUAGGAAUGUCUGAAAUUGCAUUCUGAAUGGGUGAUAAGAUUCAUCCAAGGCUAAAUAUAUGUUAGGAGAUCGAUAGCAUACAAGUACCGUGAGGGAAAGGUGAAAAGAACUUUGAAAAAAGGUUUAAAAGUAUUUGACACCGUUUAUGUGGAAGCGUUUACUUGGACCCCAAAUGAUGACGUUGGCUUAGCUCAAAUUCUUAGGAGAUCAAAGUAGAGUGGUGGGUGCCGAUCAAAAGGUAACUGACGCUUGAUUAUCAUUGGUUUCCGCUGAGGAGUGUACUCUAAGUCAGCCAGUUACUAACGGGUAAGAUCUGGUGUUUAUAAAAUGAGAGAUGAGGUUCAUUGAAGGCAACUUUGGUGGGCUCGCUUUUAAUAAUGGGCACUGGGUUUUAUCAAGAUUGCAAAAUACAGNNNNNNNNNNNNNNNNNNNNNNNNNNNNUGUUGGCGUAGCUUGGCCUUGUCUGCAGGAGAUCUUCGGAUCGCUUGUAGCUUUGUCGAAUGCGUUAGCUUAAUGUGGUGGCUCUAGUGGCGUCUGUAUAUCGUUAGAGUGGGUUCAAUAAAUGUCCCGUCUUGAAACACGGAUCAAGGAGGCCGUUUUAUGUGCGAGUGUAAGAGUUAUUAAAACUCCGACGCGUAUUGAAAGAGAGAAUAUUCCCAAAGAUCGUGACUACGGUCAUCUUCUGUAAGGAAUACCCGAAUCAUGAGAACUCUGUUUCGAAAGGAUUUGCGGUUGAGCACAUAGAAUGGGACCCGAAAGGUUGUGAACUAUGCCUGAGGAAGGCGAAGCCAGGGGAAACUCUGGUGGAGGCUUGUCGCAAUGCUGACGUGCAAAUCGCUUGUCUAACUUGGGUAUAGGGGCGAAAGACUAAUCGAACAACCUAGUAGCUGGUUCCUUCCGAAGUUUCCCUCAGGAUAGCUGGAGCAUAUAUUCUAGUUCCAUCUUGUAAAGACAAUGAUUAGCAGUUUCGGGGGCGUAAUGCUCUCAGCUGAUUCUCAAACUCUGAACGGGUGGGUCUCAUAUCAAUUCAC